UGUUUUGCAGGCCCUAACCUUUUAAGGGCCCAAACCGUUUCCGUUUUGCGGGCCCCGACCGUUUUCGUUUUGCGUGCCCCGACCGUUUUCGUAGGCUCUAACCAUGCUUAUUGCAAGUUGCGUUGGCAUUUCUGAUGCAAGGCCUGUCUUCGGAGCAGGAUGUUGAACACAUAAGUGUUUUGUGUGACCAUUUUGUUUUCAGGUUACCAUUCUCUUUUUCAGGUUUCGUUGAAAUUUAAAUAGUUGAUGCACUUGGAUAACUGGUAGAAUUGUGUAUUAUGAAACCGUUCAGAUCUGCAAUAGAAUUGUUGAUGCUGUCACAGCUGGCCUAAAGAUAAUAAAACUACUUGUUUGUAUUUUAUUUUCGAUACACACAGGUUUAAAAACAUCGAGUGGAAACUUGCAUACAUGUUGACAAAUGGUGGAUAUUGAAACCGUUGAUAAAUAUACAAUAAAAAGGACUCGAAUUGUUGAUGAAGCACAUGUGGCAUCUCUGGACGUCUGGUUGAACUUAUUAACUGAUGGCAAAUCGUGGAUGAAACCAUUUAUUUAUUCAUUAUAAAAGUUUACUUGGAUUGUUGAUGAACACGAGCAUCACUGCUGGCCUUUUAUCGAGUUGACAUUUGCGUAAUUGAGACAAAUUAUGGGAAUGGAACUGUUGAUUUAUCUGCUAUGGAUUCCAACUAAACUGUAAGAGUGCGUCGACUAUAUAGAAAAAGAUUUGCACUGCGGAGAAAUGAUCAUCAGUAUUACUGGAAUAGUGAUUUUGAUCAUAUUAUUGACAACAACGCACACAACCUCAUGGAAACACAAUGAAGGGAGACAGAAGCGUUGUGAAACUGAAGUUGACAUCAAAUCUACAAAUUGUCCUUUGGAAAAGACCAUAGGAGCUCGACUGUUGUACAAGCAUCGAAGUGGCCAUCACAAUCUAAGAGCGGUUCUUCUUUUACGGCAUUAAAUCCGAUCUCAACUGAACUCAAUUUGGGGAACUAAAGACUGAUCAGCCGAUUAACACAGUCCAAAUCUGACACUAUGAAACUCUAAAAAGUGUGACUAGUGCCGCCUCAGACUGAUUCUGCGACUCUUGGAUCCACUAUAAACGCUGAAACUUUGAUGAACAAACUAUUCAGAUAAUAAUGCCAUCUCCCUAACU